CCACUGUGCAGAAGGGCAAAGCUCUUUUGCCUUCUUGAUAUGUAAGGCAAUGAAAAAUAUAUUGAUCCAGUUUAUUCUAUUGAUUUGGAGAUGCCUUUUUAUGAGGGGAGAGAAGCAGCUUUUCUUGACCGGAGAUGAGACUGACCCUACUGUUAUAUUAAAAGCAUCUUUCUCCAAGGUGAAUACCUGUCACUGACCUGGCAGCAGGGAUAGCUCUCUAACUCAAGAGGAUGACGGACAAUUGAGCUUUAGGCAGUCAUUGAAAGACUUGAUAUUUUUCAAAUAGCUUGGUAGAGGGAGUAAUUAAGAAUGAAGAUGUCCGUAAGAAACCCUGGCUGUCAUUCAUUCCAGUCUCAGGACAUGUACAGUGCUAGGUCAGAGCGUGCUGUUUGAUUACCCUGUAUCCAUUGCCCAUCCUGCUUUACUCAUUAAUUUUUUUUAGGGCAUCAAUAUGCCUAGCUGAAAACAACAACAACCUACAUUCCCAAAUCUCUCUUGACCUAGAGGAGGUCAUGUGAUAAAAUUUUGGCCAAUAAUGCAUAAACUACAGUGUUUGGUUUCUGAAAACAGUUGUUUUUCUGCUACAGAUGCUGUGCUUUUUUGGCUUUUCCAUUCUCUCCUUCAUGCCUACAAUGUGGACAUGAUAUUUGGAUGCUAGGGAUAAUGAGUAAAAGGCCACACAGAGACAGUGUCCCUGAAAUCUUUGAGCUGCUGUGCUAGUGACAGCAGCUGCUAUCCUCAGACUUUGUAAUUUAUAAUAAACUUACAUGUCUAAACCAUGGAAAACAGAUCUCUCUUACUUGCAGACAAACCCAAUUCUUAACUGCCACAAAUGCCUUCAGGGACGAAAGAGAAAUCUGGCAGAAGAUCCAUCUUGGGCAUGGGAGUCCCAGAGCAUUCCUCCAGGACAUGACUGUGCAGAGGUUUGUCUGCUGACCUUGGAAGCCUUUGCUCAGGAAGUACAGGAACAGUGAGAGUGCAUUAUGCAGGCCAACUGGCACAGUCUGUCCAUGUGUUCACAAUAUGCCUUGAACAUUGUCCCUUUCUCUAUUUAAACCUAAUUGUAUGUCCCCCUGAGAACUAGUUUUGUUUAAAUUAUAGCUGACUGUUCUAGAUCUAUUAAAUAGUGAUAUUAUGUCUAAUGGACCUUGACUUUACUCUUUUUCUUAUUAUAUGCGAACAGGUGGGAGAGAAGGGAUACUGAAUACAAUUAUGCAUUUCAUUACUGUUUAAUUGAUUCAUUCAUCAAAUAAUUAUUUAGUGCCCACUCUAUACCAGGCACUGUGUUAAGUUUUGGGGAUACAGUGAUGAACAUGAUAGAUGGUGUCUCUGUUGUAUGGUCUAGACUUGGGAUAAUAUUUUACCUUAUUAAUUGCUUGCUAUGAGCUGG
rnacentral:lncRNA from 1 species